AGUGAUGCCUUAGAGGAACUGCAGGUAAAAGAAGAAGAAGUUGGUGGUGGUCUGAUCAAUUCUGAUGGAGAAGAAGUUGGGUUGGAUCCUACUCAUCAUGGAGAGAAUAACCAGGAAGAGAGUCCCUCUACAUCAGGAGAACCUGAACAACACCAGGAGAGUCACACAGCUAAGAGCUCUCACUGCUGUUCAGUGUGUGGAAGAGAUUGCCAAAAGCUUUCAUCACUGGAAAGACACAUGAGAACUCACACAGGAGAUAAGCCGUACAGUUGUUCUGUGUGUGGGAAGCAGUUCCGUGAAAAAAUACAUCUUCGAAACCACCAGAAAGUGCACACUGGAGAGAAACCUUAUGCCUGCCCCGACUGUGACAAGAGCUUUGCUUUCACUUCAGCCUUGAAAAGACACCAUAAAUUACACACAGGAGAGAAAAUCCACUCCUGCUAUGUGUGGGGGAAGAGUUUUACUCAAUCAUCCACCUUGAAGGAUCACUUCAGGACGCAUUCAGGAGAUAAACCCUGUUCUGUCUGCGGCAAGUGUUUUAGUUAUCCAAGACCCUUUCAGCUCCAAUGCCUGGCACACACAGGAGAGAGACCUUACAGUUGCGCUGAAUGUGGCCAGAGGUACAUACGUCCUCAAAACCUCCGUAGACAUCAGAAGACUCAUGCUGAUAGAGCACCUGUUGAGUUUGAGGACCUCAGUCAAAUAGCUGAGAUGAACGCUACAAUCGAAGGAAUGAAAGAGGAAGAAAAUGAUGAAGACGAGGAGGAUAUUGGUGGUCUGAUGAAUGCUGAAGGAGAAGAAGCUGGAUUGGAUCCUCAUCAUGGAGAGAAUCCAUAUCAGAGUUCUGACCAAGAGGAGAGUCCCUUUACAUCAGGAGAACCUGCACAUCACCAGGAGAAUCAAACAGUUAAGAGCUCUCACUGCUGUUCAGUGUGCCGAAGAGAUUGCCUAAAGUUAUAAAAACUGCUAAUACAUAUGAGAAUACACACAGGAGAAAAGCUUUACCCUUGCUCUGUGUGUGGAAAGCAGUUCCGUGAAAAAAGACAUCUUCAAGACCACCAGAAAGUGCACACUGGAGAGAAACCUUACGUCUGCUCCAAAUGUGACAAGAGGUUUGGUUUCGCCUCAAUAUUGAGAAGGCACCAGUGGUUACACACAGAAGAGAAACCUUACUCCUGCUCUGUGUGUGGGAAGGGUUUCAGCCGUCCAGAUCAGUUAAAGGACCACUCUCUGCAACAUGCAAGGACACCCCACUACUGUUCAGUGUGUGGGAAAAGCUUUGCCUUGUCUAAACAACUGCUGAGACAUGAGAAGACUCACACAGGAAAGAGACCUUAUAGUUGCUCUGUGUGUGGGAAGAGUUUCAGCGAGAAGGCGUAUCUAUCUCCAGUGCACACUGGAGAGAAACGACACCCUUGCCCUGACACACACACACACACACACACACACACACAUGAAAACACUUGUGGGUCAAAGACUAGAUAAGAAAAGAUAAAUAUGUAUAAAUAUAAUAUUAAAUCACUCAACUCUUACCCUUCUUUUGACCCCAAAAUAUUUGUGUUGCAAACUAUUAAAUUAAGAGAGUUAUUGAGCCCUAAAGUGUCAAAAUGUCCUUCAGUGUAACUGGGUUAGAAAUCUAAUGACAAAAGUGUUUUUAAAAUGUAGAAAUUCAUCCUAAAAAUAUAAAUGAACACCCAUGGCAUAAUUGUGUUAGUGUUUGCAACGAUAUAUUAAAUAAUGGGCACAUACUGGAUCUAAAAAAAUAUUUAAAAACUUGAAUAACUUUUGUCCGGACUUUGGCGCUUCAUCAAUGUCAUUCAGUAUAACAAAGGUAAAAAGCCAUUUUAAAGCAUAUCACAUGAUCAUGUGACCGUGUGUGACAUCACAAAGAAGACCUAUUGAAGACCCUCUAUCAACGUGAUGAGGUGAGUAAAUCUCUCUGAAAUAUUUGAUGAGUUCACCUUUUCAUCCUCUAGUAACCUUUGUAACAAAAACACAUGUCCCUUCAGUACAACACAGAAAACAUACUUUUAAUGUUAUUAUUUUAUAAAAAUCUAUAUUAAAUAUGAAAAGGUAGGAUAAUCUUUAUAGGUCAAGGUCAUUACUUUAUAUAGGUGGCCAAGGGAACUGCCUGUUAAAUGUGUUUAUGUAUGAAAUUCGUCCUUCGGUAUCACGCUUUUGUCCUUCAGCACAACAAAAGUUUCAUGUUAUACCAUGUCACCCGUUAUGCUGAAGGACAGUAGCUUUGUUAUCCCAUGUUUUCACUAGUUUACAACAUUUAAUCAUGCAAUUCAUAUUUACUUGUUGUAUGAAUACUGAAUAUUAUCAUUUUAAACUAUUUUAUGGCAUUGUAAGGGAUAGGGUGGAUGGUUUAUGGAUCCCACCUUCUGUUAGGGUCUGGCCACAUCACCUCAUCCACAUCACAAGCAAUGUCAUCCCUGGCUAGGCAACGGGGAAAAUAAUCUCCUUGCCGUAUCCAACCCUGGACUGACCCCACCUCAGUGUCUCCGCAUGCCUCUUCCGUUGCUUGCAGAAGAGGCAGGCGGGCAUGUGGUUGGCGGUCAUACACUUUCCAACGCCAAGCUGAAAAUAAUUCCUCAAUCGGAUUGAGAAAUGGGGAGUAAGGGGGCAAAUAUACAACUGUGAAGUUAUUGUGGUUGGUGAACCAGUCCCUGACCAGAGCAGCCCGGUGGAAACUAACAUUAUCCACGAUGACCACAAACCUGGGCUGCUCUGGUCCGUCCUGUACAUAUUAUCCCAGAUGACCACAAACCCGGGCUGCUCUGGUCCGUCCUGUACAGCUGCAUUAUGUAGUGCUUCCAGAAAUAUGAUCAUGUGUUGCAGUAUUGUAGGGAACCAGGGUGCCAUGGUGAUGGGUGGCAUGGUGAUGGGUGGCAUGGUGAUGGAGAACUCCUUGCAGACUAAUGGCUGCACACAAGGUGAUAUUUCCCCCGCGUUGCUGUUAGGGUUCGUUCCUUUCGUCCUUGUCAGUCAUUGGUUCAUUGGUGAAAUUAGCAUUAUGACAAUGUCUUUAAUUAAAUCAUUCAACAACCGUUAUUAAUGCAAUUGCAGACAGAAGUUGACAAUCAGGAACGUAGCACGCAUGUUUCCGAGUAAGUUCUGCACUAUAGGUCCACGUUGCUUUUAUCAUGCUCGUAGUCAACCCCCUGUGAUGUCACUGCAUACGUCAUUACCUUCUACUCCUCAUACCAAGCCCAUGCAUACACAGCUAUACUAACUUGCAAGAGAGAUACAAUAGUUCCAGUGUUUUCUAAGGCCUCGGCAGUAAAUGUCCACUCCCCCAAGUUGAUUUAUUGUGGAAUGUCUGACUAGUCUCUUAUCUCCUACACUCCCCUGCAGAGCUCCUUCUUCACAGUCACACAUUUCUCAGAGGAGCCUCUUUAUAAUGAGGCAGAGAGAGAGAAUUAGAAAACAACUGUGGAACAAUAUUAAAACCUCAUA